rnacentral:rRNA from 1 species
UUCCAGACUCCUACGGGAGGCAGCAGUGGGGGAUAUUGCACAAUGGGGGAAACCCUGAUGCAGCGACGCCGCGUGGGUGAAGAAGCGCCUCGGCGCGUAAAGCCCUGUCAGCAGGGAAGAAAAUGACGGUACCUGAAGAAGAAGCCCCGGCUAACUACGUGCCAGCAGCCGCGGUAAUACGUAGGGGGCAAGCGUUAUCCGGAUUUACUGGGUGUAAAGGGAGCGCAGGCGGCACGGCAAGCCUGAUGUGAAAGCCCGCGGCCCAACCGCGGGACUGCAUUGGGAACUACCGGGCUGGAGUGCCGGAGAGGUAGGCGGAAUUCCUAGUGUAGCGGUGAAAUGCGUAGAUAUUAGGAGGAACACCAGUGGCGAAGGCGGCCUACUGGACGGUGACUGACGCUGAGGCUCGAAAGCGUGGGGAGCAAACAGGAUUAGAUACCCGAGUA